AUGAAUAUUGUCACGGGGGCCAUGGGCAGCCUGAUCCCCAAGCUGGGCGAGCUGCUCGUGGAGGAGUACAAGCUGCACAAGCGCGUCAGGAAAGAUGUCGAGUUCCUCAUGAAGGAGCUUGAGAGCAUGCACGCUGCCCUCGUCAAGGUUGGCGAGGUGCCGCGGGACCAGCUCGACAGGCAAGUCAAGCUCUGGGCUGACGAGGUCAGAGAGCUCUCCUACAACAUGGAGGAUGUCGUGGACAAGUUCCUCGUACGAGUUGACGGCGACGGCAUUCAGCAGCCUCAUGACAACUCCGGCAGAUUCAAGGAGCUCAAGAACAAGAUGGUCGGCUUGUUCAAGAAAGGCAAGAAUCACCAUAGCAUAGCUGACGCGAUCAAGGAAAUCAAGGAGCAACUCCAGGAGGUGGCCGCUAGGCGUGAGAGGAACAAGGUAGUUGCUCCUAAUCCUACGGAAUCAAUUGCUAUCGAUCCUUGUCUUCGAGCUUUGUAUGCAGAAGCGACAGAGCUAGUUGGCAUAUAUGGGAAGAGGGAUCAGGAGCUCAUGAGGUUGCUCUCCAUGGAGGGAGAUGAUGCCUCUAACAAGAGACUGAAGAAGGUCUCCAUUGUUGGAUUUGGAGGGUUGGGCAAGACCACUCUUGCUAGAGCAGUAUACGAGAAGAUUAAAGGUGAUUUCGAAUGUCGGGCAUUUGUUCCUGUCGGAUAG
rnacentral:rRNA from 1 species